UGCUGAUGGGGCGUAGCCAAGCGGUAAGGCAGCGGAUUUUGAUUCCGCCAUGCGGAGGUUCGAAUCCUCCCGCCC
rnacentral:tRNA from 2 species